rnacentral:rRNA from 1 species
GAUGAACGCUGGCGGCGUGCCUAACACAUGCAAGUCGAGCGAAGCACCUUACUUGAUUUCUUCGGGAUGAAAGUAUUGUGACUGAGCGGGCGACGGGUGAAGGUACGCGUAGUAGUAACCUGCCUCAUACAGGGGGAUAACAGUUAGAAAUGACUGCUAAUACCGCAUAAGACCACAGCACCGCAUGGUGCAGGGGUAAAAACUCCGGUGGUAUGAGAUGGAUCCGCGUCUGAUUAGCUGGUUGGUGGGGUAACGGCCUACCAAGGCGACGAUCAGUAGCCGACCUGAGAGGGUGACCGGCCACAUUGGGACUGAGACACGGCCCAA